AUAGCUCAGUUGGUUAGAGUGUGGUGCUGAUAACACCAAGGCCGCAGGUUCGAACCCUGCU
rnacentral:tRNA from 1 species